rnacentral:rRNA from 1 species
UAGUGUUGCCAUGCCGACUUGUCACAGCAUGAUCUCGUCACAUCUCAGAAGCUGAGCAGGGCUGGGUCUGGUCAGAACUCGGAUGGGAAACCACUGUGAAUAUCAGGUGCCACAGUGA